GCAGUCGCGCGGACUUCUUCGGAGUCAGCGGCGGACGGGUGAGUAACACGUGGGCAAUCUGCCUCUUAGACUGGAAUAACGCCUGGAAACGGGUGCUAAUGCCAGAUAGAGCAACGAACAGGCAUCUGUUUGUUGGGAAAGGUGCUACGGCAUCACUAAGAGAGGAGCCCGCGGCGCAUUAGCUAGUUGGUGGGGUAACGGCCUACCAAGGCGACGAUGCGUAGCCGACCUGAGAGGGUGACCGGCCACACUGGGACUGAGACACGGCCCAGACUCCUACGGGAGGCAGCAGUAGGGAAUCUUCGGCAAUGGGCGAAAGUCUGACGGAGCAACGCCGCGUGAGUGAUGAAGGCCUUCGGGUCGUAAAACUUUGUUGUCAGGGAAGAACAAGUAUCGGAGUCACUGCCGGUACCUUGACGGUACCUGACCAGAAAGCCACGGCUAACUACGUGCCAGCAGCCGCGGUAAUACGUAGGGGGCAAGCGUUGUCCGGAAUCACUGGGCGUAAAGCGUGCGUAGGCGGUUUGUUAAGUCUGGAGUGAAAGGCCAUGGCUCAACCAUGGGAAUGCUUUGGAAACUGGCAGACUUGAGUACU
rnacentral:rRNA from 1 species